rnacentral:rRNA from 1 species
AUACGUAGGGGGCAAGCGUUGCCGGAUUUAUUGGGCGUAAAGGGUACGCAGGUCGGUUUUUAAGUCAGAUGUGAAAUCUUACGGCUCAACCGUAAUCAGCAUUUGAAACUGGAAGACUUGAGUUAAGGAGAGGAAAGUGGAAUUACCUAGUGUAGCGGUGAAAUGCGUAGAUAUUAGGAGGAACACCAGUAGCGAAGGCGGCUUUCUGGACUGUAACUGACACUGAGGCACG